UACGUAGGGUGCAAGCGUUAAUCGGAAUUACUGGGCGUAAAGCGUGCGCAGGCGGUGAUGUAAGACAGGGGUGAAAUCCCAGGGCUUAACCUUGGAACUGCAUUUGAGACUGCAUAGCUAGAGUACGGUAGAGGGGGAUGGAAUUCCGCGUGUAGCAGUGAAAUGCGUAGAUAUGCGGAGGAACACCGAUGGCGAAGGCAAUCCCCUGGACCUGUACUGACGCUCAUGCACGAAAGCGUGGGGAGCAAACAGG
rnacentral:rRNA from 1 species